UGUGUGUGUGUGUGUGUGUGUGUGUGUGUGUUCGUUCUUAUCUCAGGUGCCUUGGAAUGAGUGCACCUACGAUUUUGCCCAUAGCCAUAGCCAUCGCCUCGAGUUUACCUUUUACGUUAAACUUACAUCAUCUAGCGUUCAUUUUUAUAUUUUUUUUGCUAUCGCAAUGAGAAAGUUCCGAGCUAACUUCACUUUUUGCUACACAUACUUCAAAUACUUUUAUUAAUAAUUAUAAUAAUAAUAAAAAAUAUGUCAAAUUGUAAAUCAAAGUUUGUUAGUUUCAAUUGUUCAUUCGGGGAACCAACGAAAAAAAAACAAUUAUUCAUUUUGCAGGUCUAGGAAGACGGCUAGAUAACAUCCAAAUCCUGAGGUGACAAAUCAGGAUUUUUGCAAGAUGACUUGAUUUUUGGUUUUCGUUUUAGUGAUGCAAUAGGAAACUAGAAUAAGUGUCAAGGACUACAUCUAAAAAAUGUUCAAAUUAUAUGAGUAUAGGACGCGCGUGCGCUCCCGAGUCCCGCGUAGAUAUAUAGCAAAUGCGCGCGCGGUUCCAGCCAGUGGGAGGGAGAGGGAGAGGAGAAAGAACAAUCAGCCACGGAUUUAGGUGUUAAAAAGAGGCAAAAGGCUAGUGUUUAGUUGUUUAGUAGUAUAAAGAGCAAAGGCUAUUUGGUGAAGUUCUGCUACGGUUGAGAAACUUUCCUUAGAGUCUGAUGAUCAAUGACAAGAUCAAAGUAUGAGAUACAAGAACAUACGGAAGGAGCUGAGCGUAAUCUCAUUAGUAUGGCACGUGCCGUGCGAGCGCCUCCACUGGCUCCGCUGCCUCCAGACGCGUCACAAAGCCUGACUACGACGCUUUCAACGGCCUUCGACUCGAGGAGUAUGAGCUGUGAGCCUACCAGCUAAAUGAUGACCCCAUAUCACGGUGGCAACCGAGCACGUCAACCAUCCGUCCAGACUAGCGUUCUAUAGACUGUAGACGCCUGUAAACUAAAUACACGUAUUGACCUACAAUUUUUAGCCUUGGUUUAUGUUUUUAACGUUCUCAAUAUACUGAUUCACCGGAUGAGCUAACUAAUAAUUCCACAAUUACAUCGCUUCUCUAUAAACACUUACGUUUGCGUUUAUAAAUAUAAUAAGUAAUAAAAAAUAAAUACCAUUUGUUAGUAUAACGUA